GUCCUCUUUCUGCGCAUGCGCAUCCGGACCCUGAGCACCAUGUCGGAGCGCAGAGAUGAGACGGAGGAGGUGAAAACUCUCAGAUGAGGAGGUGAACGAGCAGGGGUCGUUGGUGCCGCUGGAGAGUCACAGAGGGGCUGGUUACACCACAACAACAACAACAACACUACAACAA